rnacentral:rRNA from 1 species
UACGUAGGGUGCGAGCGUUAAUCGGAAUUACUGGGCGUAAAGCGUGCGCAGGCGGUUUUGUAAGCCAGAUGUGAAAGCCCCGGGCUCAACCUGGGAAUGGCAUUUGGGACUGCAAGGCUUGAGUGCGGCAGAGGAGACUGGAAUUCCUGGUGUAGCAGUGAAAUGCGUAGAUAUCAGGAGGAACACCAAUGGCGAAGGCAGCACUCUGGGACGUGACUGACGCUGAGACGCGAAAGCGUGGGGAGCAAACAGG